rnacentral:rRNA from 1 species
AGAGUUUGAUCAUGGCUCAGGAUGAACGCUAGCGGCAGGCCUAAUACAUGCAAGUCGGACGGGAUCCAUCGGUAGCUUGCUAUCCAUGGUGAGAGUGGCGCACGGGUGCGUAACGCGUGAGCAACCUGCCUCCAUCAGGGGGAUAGCCUCUCGAAAGAGAGAUUAACACCGCAUAACAUAUCAGACCGGCAUCGGUCGGAUAUUAAAUAUUUAUAGGAUGGAGAUGGGCUCGCGUGACAUUAGCUUGUUGGUGGGGUAACGGCCCACCAAGGCGACGAUGUCUAGGGGCUCUGAGAGGAGAAUCCCCCACACUGGUACUGAGACACGGACCAGACUCCUACGGGAGGCAGCAGUAAGGAAUAUUGGCCAAUGGGCGGAAGCCUGAACCAGCCAUGCCGCGUGCAGGAUGACUGCCCUAUGGGUUGUAAACUGCUUUUGUCCGGGAAUAAACCUCCU